rnacentral:rRNA from 1 species
CGGCGUGCUAUACAUGCAAGUCGAACGAACGGAGGAAGAGCUUGCUCUUCCAAAGUUAGUGGCGGACGGGUGAGUAACACGUGGGCAACCUGCCUGUAAGUUGGGGAUAACUCCGGGAAACCGGGGCUAAUACCGAAUGAUAAGGAGUGACGCAUGUCACUGCUUUGAAAGAUGGUUUCGGCUAUCGCUUACAGAUGGGCCCGCGGUGCAUUAGCUAGUUGGUAGGGUAAAGGCCUACCAAGGCAACGAUGCAUAGCCGACCUGAGAGGGUGAUCGGCCACACUGGGACUGAGACACGGCCCAGACUCCUACGGGAGGCAGCAGUAGGGAAUCUUCCGCAAUGGACGAAAGUCUGACGGAGCAACGCCGCGUGUAUGAAGAAGGUUUUCGGAUCGUAAAGUACUGUUGUUAGAGAAGAAUAAGGAUAAGAGUAACUGCUUGUCCCUUGACGGUAUCUAACCAGAAAGCCACGGCUAACUACGUG